rnacentral:lncRNA from 1 species
GAGCCACCCUGGUGAUCAUCGGCUCCCAUGCUGCCUUGCACCAGAUAGAGCCUUCAGACGGAGAGGAACUGCAGAUGGAGCCUGUGUAAGAUGUCAGAACCUGCCUGCCUUGCCGGCUGCCAGUGGCCUCAUUCACAUCACUGUGCACCCGGCAUGGCUCUGGAAUUGUGCCUCAGUCGUGCAAGCCACCAGCCCAGCGUGACCCCUGUGUGCCUGAAGCAAGGCUGCCAUGAACUACUGUGCACUAAGUGGAAAACACGGGGCUGGGAAGCAGCAGCUCAGCAGCUAAGAGCUUGCUGCUCCUCCAGGGACUUCUUAAAAGUGACUAGGUUAAGAGCACCGGCUGCUCUUCCAGAGGACCUGAGUUCAAUUCCCAGCAACCACAUGGUGGCUCCCAACCAUCCGUUAUGAGAUCUGGUGCCCUCUUCUGAUGCACAGGCAAAACAUUAUAUACAUAAUAAAUAAAUACUGCCUAUAGCUAUAGUUCCAAGGAAUCUGACAUUCCCUUCUGGCUUCCAAAAUGUACAUAUGCUCGCUCGCGUGCACACACACACACACACACACACACACACACACACACACACACACAGGCUCAAAUACAAACUGAGAAACGUGAGUUCUGAAUGGAAAACACAGUAGACCAGUGUGAAGGUGGCAUACAAUACUCAUUAGUCAUGUUUACAUAUAUGUUAGCAUGCCACACACGCCUUUAAUCUCAGCACUCAAGGAGGCAGAAGCAAGCAGAUCUCUGUGAGUUUGAGACUAGCCUGGUCUACAUAGUGAGCUCCAGGAUUGCUGGGAUUAUAGAUUUAUACAGAUCUAUACACAGGUACAUAUACAUACAUGCAUACAUACAUACAUACAUACAUACACACACAAAGAGAGGCAGAGCACAGGCUGGCCUCGAAUUCUAUGUAGCUGAGAAUGACCUCGAACUUCUGAUCCUCCUGCCUUUUGCUCCCAAGUCCUAGGGUGGAUGACAGUCUUAUGCCUCCAGGCUUGGUUUCUGUCACACUGUGGGAAUUGAGCCCAGGGCUUUAUACAUUCUGGAAGAGCGGUCCACCCAACGAAGGUAUAGUCAGCACCCCUGAUUUUAAUAUUGACCAUUUUGUUUGUUUGUGUGUGUGUGUGUGACAGUGUCUUAUUGUAUAGCCCAGACUGGCCUGGAACUCACUGUGUAUCUCAGUCUGGCCUGAGAUUUGUGACAGUCCUAUCUAUAUAUGCCUUAGCCUCCCAACUGCUAGGAUUACAGAUAAGAGCUGCCACCCCAGGUCUUUGAUAAUGUG